AAUAGAUACCCAGGUAGUCCACGCCGUAAACGAUGAGUGCUAAGUGUUAGGGGGUUUCCGCCCCUUAGUGCUGCAGCUAACGCAUUAAGCACUCCGCCUGGGGAGUACGGUCGCAAGACUGAAACUCAAAGGAAUUGACGGGGGCCCGCACAAGCGAUGGAGCAUGUGGUUUAAUUCGAAGCAACGCGAAGAACCUUACCAGGUCUUGACAUCCCAUUGACCGCUAUGGAGACAUAGCUUUCCCUUCGGGGACAGUGGUGACAGGUGGUGCAUGGUUGUUGUCAGCUCGUGUCGUGAGAUGUUGGGUUAAGUCCCGCAACGAGCGCAACCCUUGUUCUUAGUUGCCAUCAUUUAGUUGGGCACUCUAAGGAGACUGCCGGUGACAAACCGGAGGAAGGUGGGGAUGACGUCAAAUCAUCAUGCCCCUUAUGACCUGGGCUACACACGUGCUACAAUGGACGGUACAAACGGUUGCCAACCCGCGAGGGGAGCUAAUCCGAUAAAACCGUUCUCAGUUCGGAUUGUAGGCUGCAACUCGCCUA
rnacentral:rRNA from 1 species